GAUGAACGCUGACAGAAUGCUUAACACAUGCAAGUCGACUCGAGUCUUCGGACUUGGGUGGCGCACGGGUGAGUAACGCGUAAAGAACUUGCCUCUUAGACCCGGAGAAAUCCGGCCUAAUACCGCGUAUUCUCAAGUUGCUGCAUGGCAGUUUGAGGAAAGAUUUAUUGCUCAGAGAUAGGCAUGCGUUCCAUUAGGUAGUUGGUGAGGUAACAGCUCACCAAGCCGACGAUGGAUAGGGGAGCUGAGAGGCUGACCCCCCACACUGGGACUGAGACACGGCCCAG
rnacentral:rRNA from 1 species